AUUGAACGCUGGCGGCAGGCUUAACACAUGCAAGUCGAGCGGAGAGAGGUAGCUUGCUACCGAUCUUAGCGGCGGACGGGUGAGUAAUGCUUAGGAAUCUGCCUAUUAGUGGGGGACAACAUUUCGAAAGGAAUGCUAAUACCGCAUACGUCCUACGGGAGAAAGCAGGGGAUCUUCGGACCUUGCGCUAAUAGAUGAGCCUGAGUCGGAUUAGCUAGUUGGUGGGGUAAAGGCCUACCAAGGCGACGAUCUGUAGCGGGUCUGAGAGGAUGAUCCGCCACACUGGGACCGAGACACGGCCCAGACUCCUACGGGAGGCAGCAGUGGGGAAUAUUGGACAAUGGGCGGAAGCCUGAUCCAGCCAUGCCGCGUGUGUGAAGAAGGCCUUAUGGUUGUAAAGCACUUUAAGCGAGGAGGAGGCUACUUUAGUUAAUACCUAGAGAUAGUGGACGUUACUCGCAGAAUAAGCACCGGCUAACUCUGUGCCAGCCGCCGCAGUAACAC
rnacentral:rRNA from 1 species